UACGAAGGGGGCUAGCGUUGCUCGGAAUCACUGGGCGUAAAGGGUGCGUAGGCGGGUCUUUAAGUCAGGGGUGAAAUCCUGGAGCUCAACUCCAGAACUGCCUUUGAUACUGGCGAUCUCGAGUCCGGGAGAGGUGAGUGGAACUGCGAGUGUAGAGGUGAAAUUCGUAGAUAUUCGCAAGAACACCAGUGGCGAAGGCGGCUCACUGGCCCGGUACUGACGCU
rnacentral:rRNA from 1 species